GCUAAGAUGUGAGCAGCACAGAGGUUGGGGGAGUGGCCUGGCACCAGUUUUCUGUUGGAUAGUGUGCUGCCAUCUCCCAAGAGGUAGACUCUGCAGACUAAGCAGCAAUUAGGGUGAAGGACCUCACAUACGCAGAUUCCUAUGAAACCAGUGAGCCUCCAGUGGCUAUUGGUUCCUUUUCUCUUAUUAGGUUCUGGUUGCACCUUUACGUUUAUAAGCUUCUAAAAGUAAGUUGAAUUUCACUCUUCAUCAUGUAAGAAAAUGAGAGCAGAGCGCACUCCACGGAAGUCAUAGCUGAAUAUCAACUCUCUACACAGAAACCACGAAGGACAAGUGCCAGCGCAGGAAGACUGGUCGAUAAGGAGGGCAAACCUGAGCGCUUCAGUUUCACUACUGAAGAGGACAGAAGGGUCUACAGAGGCACAGAGUAAUGAUAUCGCUUAAGAAAUAAUCUCUCCCACCCACGCGGAGCGCCACACUGGGCUUACCGGGGAUGUGUCCAUACAAGGCAGAGAAAAGGGAUGGCCUCACCUGACAGCGGCACUCCCCCACAUCAUUUGUGCCUUGCAGAAAUCAUGGUAGAGUUACGCCAGAAAAUCCACGUAGCUGCGCCAAGAAAAAGGGAUUUAGAAGCUUGGAUUUCAGGAGCGGUAGUGCUUGGUAAGUAAAUGCAGUUAUGGCUCUUGCUGUGGAGUGUUCUGGGAGGGAGUGAUGGGAAAUGAGUGUUUGCUGCCAUAAUAUUCCUUCAGGCUUAUUCUAGACACACCCGGCACGCUGUGUUGACAACAGGUCUCAGGAAAACCUUUAAAAUAUAGUAAAGCCAAUUCUCCAGAGGACGGGCUCAAAAUCAACAUUUGCAGCAUCAAUCAUAAAAAUAGAGGUAUUGAAAUGUAAGAACCUUUCACCAAUUUUACCUGUCUUCUCGUUUUCCCCAUCCACUGCGGUUUUGGUUUCUAAAAUGAACAUUUGGCGUGAAUGCAUUAUUUCUGUUGAAGUCACUUUUUCUACUAAUCAUGUUGUCUUACAUUUUGCUUAUAAUAGCAAAAGCAAUGAUACAAUUUUAGCUUUUUCUCUUUUUAUUAACAUAUCAAUUGUAUGUAAUAAUGAGUAUGACAAUGACUUUUUCCUAUACACAUUCAGUCCACUAUGACUGUCAUCUCUAUUCCCCCUUCCCACUUCUCAGACUCUCAUUUUCUGAA